AGAAAUAUGAGACGCGAAUGGAAACAGUCGAACACGGAGAUCACGGAUCGAUGGCAAAUGUGAAAGAAUAAUCGACGGACCAAAAGGGAGCAUGAACGAGGAUGGCGAAAGGGAUAUUUCUCCGGUCGUAUGGUCGAUCAAUUGCAAGAAGGAGAGAUCAUCUCCGGGGUUUGACGAACCGAAGAAGAGAAGGGAACGGGGAAGGAAGCGAGGUUGUUGUGGUCUCGGUCGGCUGCUAGGUAUGACGGAGAAGGAGGUCCGAAGGGGGUCUGGGAGGCGUCGCGAGCAGCAGCAGCAAUGAAGACGAGGAUGUUCGGUGGGUUCGCUCGACGGAAGAGGAAGAGGAGGGUACGAGGGUUCGGUGUGGCUAGGGAUUCCGUCGGACCUUCGGUGCAACGAUGAGAUGCGAUCGGUGGUUAAAAAGGAGGCACCUUCGGUGCUUGGCUGGAACGAAGUGAAGAAGAAAAAGAGAAUGGAUGCAGCUGUUAACAACAACAGAAACCGAUGGUUGUUUGGGUUGGGUCGUUUGACAGGGAAUGAACACGAACUAGGAGGCUGUUGUUUAUUGAAAUCAAAAGGAAGAAGAAGAAACGAGAUGAAGAAUGAUUAGAGGCAGUUGUUAUCAUCUUGAAAUCAAUUGUUAUAAUCUUAUACGGUUUGUAUGUAUUGUAUCUGUGAAAUCUUUGAGUG